CACACCCUACUAAGCACACUGUCGUUUUUUGUUUUUGGUUUCUUUUCAAAGCUCUUUGCUUUCUUGCGUCUCUAUACACUCAUUUAAGAACUUAGAUCUAGUGUUUACACUUGUCGUUGAAAGUUCUAAUAUUUUCCAGUGACUUGUUUGGAUUGUUCUAUUCCUGCCAUUGGUUUAUUUUAAACGUUCAUAUUUGAACAUUCUUAUUGAGCUAAAGUCAUUGUUUCUGGUCUUGUGUCAGCCUUCUUCACAUUUGCCCCUGGACUUAUAAUGUCUAUCAGU